rnacentral:misc_RNA from 1 species
GUACUCUCACACUCCCAAUUUUUUGGAUUGGGAGCGGUGGACUUGGGUGUUGCUGCUUUUACGGUGGCUCACCUCAAAUGGAGUAGUGCAACUCUCGGUUGGACAUAGUACGGCGUGAUAAGUGUCUUCGCCGGCGCCUCACUUAGAGGGUGGCCGAUCGGGAGCUCUGUGCUUCUAACCGUCUUCGGACAAUCUCUGACA